rnacentral:tRNA from 1 species
GCGGGAAUAGCUCAGCUGGUAGAGCACCACGUUGCCAACGUGGAUGUCGCGAGUUCAAUCCUCGUUUCCCGCUCCA